AAUGAACGCUGGCGGCGUGCUUAACACAUGCAAGUCGAGCGAGAAAGCUUCUUCGGAAGUGAGUACAGCGGCGGACGGGUGAGUAACACGUAAGAAUUUGCCCUUUAGUGAAGGAUACCUCUGAGAAAUCAGGGUUAAUACUGCAUAAGUCCCUUCGGGGAGAAAGAUGGCCUCUUUGCUGUCGCUAAAGGAUAAGCUUGCGGGCUAUUAGCUUGUUGGUGAGGUAAAGGCUCACCAAGGCGAUGAUGGCUAGCCGGCCUGAGAGGGUGUACGGCCACACUGGAACUUAGACACGGUCCAGACUCCUACGGGAGGCAGCAGUGAGGAAUAUUGCGCAAUGGGCAAAGCCUGACGCAGCGACGCCGCGUGGAGGAUGAAGGUUUUCGGAUCGUAAACUCCUGUUAAGUGGGAAGAAGA
rnacentral:rRNA from 1 species